CCCUGGCUCAGGACGAACGCGGCGGCGUGCCUAAUACAUGCAAGUCGAGCGAAUCGAUGGGAGCUUGCUCCCUGAGAUUAGCGGCGGACGGGUGAGUAACACGUGGGCAACCUGCCUAUAAGACUGGGAUAACUUCGGGAAACCGGAGCUAAUACCGGAUACGUUCUUUUCUCGCAUGAGAGAAGAUGGAAAGACGGUUUACGCUGUCACUUAUAGAUGGGCCCGCGGCGCAUUAGCUAGUUGGUGAGGUAAUGGCUCACCAAGGCGACGAUGCGUAGCCGACCUGAGAGGGUGAUCGGCCACACUGGGACUGAGACACGGCCCAGACUCCUACGGGAGGCAGCAGUAGGGAAUCUUCCGCAAUGGACGAAAGUCUGACGGAGCAACGCCGCGUGAACGAAGAAGGCCUUCGGGUCGUAAAGUUCUGUUGUUAGGGAAGAACAAGUACCAGAGUAACUGCUGGUACCUUGACGGUACCUAACCAGAAAGCCACGGCUA
rnacentral:rRNA from 1 species